CGUAUAUAUUUUUUCUAGUCUUAUGUUUCUUAUUUUAUACGUACUGUUAGUAUCUAAUACGUGUACUCCCUAACCAAUUAAACCCACACACGCACCAGUAUACUCAUCUCCUCCUUAUAACCCCACGUUUAUCCACUCUCACAAUUUAUCUUCAAAAGAACGUAUAUCAUAUAUAUGUUGAUAGCAAAAUAAAAGGGGAAGGCAAAAAUUAGAGUGGGAGUGACGGAGAGGGAGAGUCCGAACCAAAGGGAGCCAGAGGAUGAGAAGGAGAGGAGAGGGGAAGGGAAGGAAGAGGCGUUGCUGGUGAUGAACACAGCCACCGUCGCCGCUGUCUGACCGCCACACCACCAAACCCUAGCCGUCAUAGAGGAGAGGGUGAUCGAAGUAGAGAAGCACCGCGUGAAGGAGGGAAGUUCCAUCGCCGGCGCUGCUGUUAGUGGAAGCCGCUACCACCACAGCGGGAAAAACGAACAUGGGAGAAGAGGUUUCGUUGAUGAUGUCACAGAGGAAGAGGACGAGACAUGUGUGAGAGAGUGACGCACCGAGGAGGGACCAUUCCUCUGCCGCCGGAAUUUCUGGUUGCCGCCAUGAUUAAUGUUUGUCCCAAUUGGAGCCACUGGCGAUGGUGUUGCCGUUGCCGGAAGCCAACGCCGGGCUGUUGCUGGUUCUGAUUCUAUUAUCUUGGUACUGGUCUAAUCUUUUCUUUGGGAAUUGUCCAUUUGCACGCUCUGUUUUGGCACUGGUAUAGUUG